GGCCCCGCCUCCUUAGUUAAGGCCGGCGGUGGGCGGGGGUCGCUCAGUGGCGGGAGGAAGGGGGGGGCGGGGGUGCAAAGGCAGACCGUGGCGCGCGGGCACCGGCACCCGCUGACCCGCGCACGGCCCCCGUCACUCCCCCAGCCCCCGCGCGGCGCGGGGGUGAAGGCGGAGGCGGCGCCGCUACCGCUGAGGGCAGGGCAGCGCCCCGCCGCGGGAGUGGCGGGCGGGCGGCGCACCUGCGAGCGGCGAGACGAGCGAGGUGGGCGACGAGGAGCCGACCGGAGGCGCACAGCGAGCCGGCGCCCGCGCAGCCCGGCUCGGCGUGCUCAGGCGCCGCGGCCCCGAGGCGAUGGAGCAGGAGAAGUACCUGCCCGAGCUGAUGGCCGAGAAGGACAGCCUGGAUCCCUCCUUUGUUCACGCGAUGCGCCUCCUGGCAGACGAAAUUGAAAAAUUUCAGGGUUCUGAAGGCAAGAAGGAAGAUGAAGAAAAGAAAUAUCUUGAUGUUAUCAGCAACAAAAACAUAAAGCUGUCAGAAAGAGUUCUGAUCCCUGUCAAACAAUAUCCUAAGUUCAAUUUUGUUGGGAAAUUGCUUGGACCAAGAGGGAACUCCUUAAAGAGGUUACAGGAAGAAACAGGUGCAAAAAUGUCCAUCCUCGGGAAAGGAUCCAUGAGGGAUAAAGCUAAGGAGGAAGAACUAAGGAAAAGUGGAGAAGCCAAAUACGCGCACUUGAGUGAUGAGCUUCAUGUAUUAAUUGAAGUGUUUGCUCCACCUGGAGAGGCAUAUUCUCGUAUGAGUCAUGCCUUGGAAGAAAUAAAAAAAUUCCUCGUUCCUGAUUAUAACGAUGAAAUUCGCCAGGAGCAGCUGAGAGAACUGUCGUAUUUGAACGGUUCUGAGGAUUCAGCACGUGGACGGGGCAUUCGAGGAAGGGGGAUCCGUGUGCCACCUGCAGCUCCUUCAAGGGGACGUGGGGGUGCGAUUCCUCCUCCCCCGCCUGGACGAGGUGCCCAAGCACCCCGAGGAGCGCCAGUGACCCGUGGAGCCCUCCCCGUCCCUCCAGUGGCAAGGGGCGUCCCCACCCCUCGAGCAAGGGGCGCCCCGGCUGUCCCAGGCUACAGACCACCCCCGCCACCUGCACACGAGGCCUAUGAAGAAUAUGGAUAUGAUGAUGGAUAUGGGGGUGAAUAUGAUGAUCCAAGCUAUGAGGCAUAUGAUAACAGUUAUGCCACCCAAACACAAAGUGUGCCUGAAUAUUAUGACUAUGGUCACGGAACAAGCGAAGAGGCUUACGACAGCUACGCACAAGAAGAAUGGGCCACAACCCGUUCCAGCCUAAAGGCACCACCUCCAAGGUCAGCCAGAGGGGGUUACAGGGAACACCCCUAUGGUAGAUAUUGAAGGUCCUCCUCAUCUGUGACCUCAUCUCAAAGACAAUUAAUAGCCUGUGGUCUCCACAUAAACAGCAACAAGACAAGGGCUCACCCGCACUGGACAGCUAAGCAGCAGAUCUGCUGAGAAGUGGUCAGCUUUUUGGAGCCUUAGGGAAGUACUGUAGCUUUUGAAUGCUGUUCAGGGAAUUGGGAGUGUUCGACAUCAUUUGCAAUAAAUCAGUGGGAUCUGAAGGGCUGCGCCUCAGGUUGGGACUCCACAGCCCCCAAGUUCUGGACGUGUCACUACCACCCUCUUUAGUUUCCUAAAGCACUGAGACUUACGGUGAUCUUCUGGUCUAUCAGGUGAGCUAUGAUAUUUCUCUAUAUGUUUUUAUUUUUUGUCAAAUGUAUGAUAAUUCAGCUUACCUUAGUCUGAAAAAAUACUAUUUUAAACUAGUUCACCUUAUGUUUGUCAUUGAAAGAGAGCUCAUACACAGAUACCUAUUAUGCAUGUUACUUUGAGACAGGGUAAUUUAUAUAUGAUAUAUAUACAAUAUAACAUAUAAUUUCUUAUGCUCUGUUUCUGUGGUGAUGAAACAUAAUAUUUAAUCAUCUUGCUCACAGAAGUGACACAUAAGUAAUCAAACUAUAUUUGUGCAAUAUGUUGAACAUAGAAAUAGUUUUUAAAAAUGCCAAAUAUUUGGACUAAUCAACUUCCCUUGGAAUGAGUUAACUCAUUGAGAUGUUUAUGUUAAAAACAAAUUUUGCAGAUUCUGGGGUUUUUGCUCUAUUAUCCACUUGUUCGUCUAAAAAAACCUUGGUGUCUUCAUGAGCUGUUGUGAACAUGCACUUAUUAAUGUAUGUAAGGUUCAGUUAUGUAGCAACAUUGUAUAUGUUGCUGCAAACUAUGGACAAUGAAAACCAGUAAGAAAGUAAAUGUAUCUACAGCAGCAGAUAUUUGGCUGGAAAACAGUGAGCAAAAAAAGAGUCACACCACUAUUGUUUAAGACAGAUACAAAUAUUUAAUUCAAUCUCAUAUCCAGAAUGUAUUAGGUCUUGUGCAGAGAAGGGUAGCAAGGGGUCCUGUAAUUAAAGGCUGUGUCCUCUUGUAUAUACUAAAGAACAUCAUCUAAUUAUAUUAGAAAGUAUAAAUCUAACAUUUCCUAAAUCAUCUAAGCUAAAUUGUAGAAUGGUUUGGGUUGGAAGAGACCGUAAAGAUCUUUAAAAAUCAUAAAGUAUAUAUAUGGAAGUUGUAUUUUUCUGUAAUAAGCUUAAAAGAUCUUUAAUAAGAUCUUUAAUAAUCUUCAGUAAUAAGCUUUAGAGAUCUUUAAAGAUCGUAAAGAACAUGUGUGAAAGCUGUAUUUUUCUAUAAUAAGCAUUUUUAUAGCUAUAUGUCAUAUAAUAAUGCAGUUAUUGCAUUUAGUGAUUAGAAAUGAGCUUGUUUCUUUAGCAAACAGCAUGUGAAACAAAGGACCAUUUUCAGUUUUUGCGGAUGAUAGCUAGCAACAUCCCAAAGGUUUCGGCUAGCUGUCGAAAGCAAUAUAAACAGCUAAUGCGGAGUUACUCUGCAACUGCUCUGGCAGAUUACGUACAGUGGCAGCGCAAAUACUUGCAUUAAUCCUGCAUACACCAUCACUUCACAUACCUCUGGUACAGCCAGUCCUUCCCUUGCUCCUUCUGACUGUACAGUAGAAAACAGACCUGAAGCUUAGUCUCCUGCAUGCAGAACAGCAUGAAGUCCUCUUACAGGACUCCAUUCCUUGUCAUCGCAUGUUCUGAAAGUGAUGAUAUUUUUCUGCCAAUGCUAUUUUUGAAUUUGCUUUCUGCAAAUGAUAAUAAAAAUUUGAACUAUGCCUUGCUUUAGGUGUAGAUUUUUCUCUCCAAAAAGCUAAAAGAAUGUGGCCAAAAGCUAUUCAAAGUAACACAUCUCUAGAAUUGAGGAAAAAAACAGUAUAUUUUUCAAGAUUCCUCCUCCUAGUUAGAGCUGGAAAUAAACCCUAGGUCACAUUAUGCACACUCCAGUUUUAAGUAGGCUGUGAGUGAGAUAAUGAAAUGGGUGAAAAUAUGCAGGUUUUUUAAGGGUUUACUUACAUUAUGGUUAAGUGUGUUAACACUUUGUAACUAGUAAUCUAGGGCUCUUAGAAAUGUUUUUCACAUUACAAUGUGGAAUAAGAAGACUGACACCUCUAUUAUUAGUUGUGCUUUCCACAUAGCAGAUGGAAGGGGGAAGCUGUUUGCUUUAUAUCACACAGAAUGCUACUCAUCAGAACUAAAAUACCUUUACUUAUAUCCCAAUCUCCUAACCAUUGGACUACAUUUCCUAAAAAGGCUUAAAAGAGAGACUUGGAAGUAGUUGAUCAUUUUCACUCUUUGCCUAAAGAAAAUGAUUUAGUGUUCUCAGAAAUUCAGAGGAGUGAUUCCUUUUGGCUUAAUAACUUCAGGUUUUAAUAAGUGAAAAAGUUUUCCAGGAGGGUGGAAGACCCUACUUAUAUUUCUAGAAGAUUAACAGAAAUCUGCAGAAGAAGAAAGGGAAUUCUAAUUUUUCCCCAUCCUGAGCAGUCCAGAACUUCAUACUAAAAUACCAAGGUUCAUCUACUUCUGUGACUUCCUUUGCAUUUUCUGACUUUCUUGUUUUUCAGCUGUAUAUAUAUAUGUGUGUACGUGUGUACAUAUCCUCAGUUCAGGCCCGAAAGGCAAUUCAGCCCCUUUUCAGGUAUGUAUCAAAAGUUAAAUUGUGUAGAGUUGAGGGAACACAAGGUUUGACACAUAUGCUUGUCCUUGGAAUUUGAGGUAAGCCUGUUCUGUGCCCAGUGCUCUGCUGUGGAGCAAGAGAUUGAAAAGUGGGCGUAGAGAAGCACAGCCCAAUGCACAAGACCUUUGCUGUAAUGGAACAGGCUGUUCAAGGCCUUCACUUUGAGCUCCCCAUGUGCAGCAUUCACGUCAUGGAAGCUGGCCUAUGGAGUUACCCAGAAGUGGAUUUCCUGUACUUCUAUAACUAUCUUUGCUAAUUCUUCCUUCUGGUGGCUUUGUUGUUGAAUUGCUUGGUUUUUAAAGAAACGGGAUUAGUUUAGGGGAAGGCACUUCUGUUGAUAACCCUCAACAUUUUCAAAAGAUAGAAACUUCCAUCUUUAGCUGAGCAAUGAAGACAUACUUCUGUUUUCAGAAGUGCUGAAAGACUGCAGCUUUCACUAUCCUUAAAAUUCUCAAAAAUCAGGAGUAAUCACUGGCACACAAGAUCUAAAUAUCCUCAUCCAAAACACCUUUUAUGAAUGUCUUGUCUUGCAUCUUUAUACAGACACUGUGGAAAUUAACAUAGUACAGAUUUUGAAACAGCCAGCUGGUAUUAAUGAAAGCCAGAGAAGUAUUGAAGAUGCAUAUAUUACACUAAUAUUUCAGUAAUAACUUGAAUUGCAGCUGAAGUGAGCCUACUUUAUUUUUCUAAAAGCAUCACUAAUGACUGGGGUAUGCUGAUGUACUCAUGCACUGUAGCAAUAAUAUAUGAAAACAGCUAAGCAAAUAAGAUAAAUUAUAUAAGUAUAUGCAUUUUUCUAAAGGUAGGUAGAAUUAAAUGUUGGAGAAUAUUCAGCCUGAGGCUAAUAGAUACAAGAGAUCAUACUAGUAAUGAAUACUUUAAGCUGUUAGUUGAUCAUAGGUGUUACUGGUCAGUUCUGUAGCUACAUCUGUAACUGCUCUGCAGCAUGUAGGUUUGGGUACUAAGCUAUCCUUGUAGCACUGAUACAGAGAUAAAUGUUUAGUUAGGACUGGAUCUAGCCUUUAGGCUGUGUCAUGAACUCUCUUCUCUCAAAGUCAAAUAUUAUUUUUAGCUUUUAUUGACCUGACCAGCCGACUUCACUCAGCAUUUGUUCCCGGUCAAAUGCACUUCUACCCCUCUAAGUCUAAACUGGCUGACCAAAAAAGUUGUGGUCUCCGGACAUGGAAUGGAAUUUUAUUACUGAGGUUCACAAUGCAAAUCAUUGGAAGUUACAUAAUAAUGUGAAAGGACAUUCAAUUGAAAGGCUGUCAGAAGAUAAAAGUGUAUCAAGCUUCCCAGAGCAUUCAUAUUGCAACUCAUGGAGUUAGAUGACAUUGAAAGAGCAAUUCAGUGUUUAAUGCAUGCGCCUCUGAUGACUGUGCUCUUCCACAGCACUAGCUGUUGAAGUAUCAGUAACAAAGUCUGUAGCAUAGAAUUUAAUACAGGAGUUUUCCAUUAAAGAGGUUAGCUGUUGCAGUUUACAGUAACUUCCUUUCUAGCUCAGCUUAACCUGCUGAGGACACAGUACUUUGUCCUUGAAUAGGCAGGAUUGCAUUCAUCUUAUUCUUCCCACUGGAGCAGAGAAGAAGUAAAGUAUGAGUACAUCAGAAGCAAUGCACAACAAGUGAGUACCUGCAACAUAGGCAUGUAUUAUUAUUGGGUUGUUUUUUUUUAAAGGUCAAUCCAUAAUACAAGAGAAAUAAAAGCAAGUCUGUAACUGUCCUGAAAUUCUCUUAAAUGUGCAAUAACACCAUAAAAGAUGCCUGUAUUUACUACUAAUGAUAAAACUGCGGCAUUACACUAAUCAGAUUCAACUGCAUAAUUUUAAGUGAAGAGGUGCUUAUGAAAUGCAAAAUGAACUCCAGAAUGGAAGGUUCAUUGCUUCCUAAUCAAAAGCAGUCAGCUUUAAACACCAGCCAGUCAGGUGAUAAGUUUGUCGUUUUUCAGCUGCGCCCAUGGAGGGAAGUUGCCAAGAAGGCUUGACAGCCUUUGAACUUUGCACAGCAUUUUUUGCCUGUUUCUGAACAUCAUGUUGAUCUACAAAACUCCUGGGAGGCUGGGAGGAGAGGCAGAGUAACAGCAGUUCUAUUAAAAUGUAUUUGCAGCAAUGAAUGUCAAGCAGAGUUUGUGGUGUGAAAAAAUGUGUAGUUCCUUAAAAGAAAUUUUCACCACCCCUCAGGUCUGGUUCUUUCUUGUCUAAUUGUGUCCAGCUACUUUGGGGGACUGAGGAGUGUCAGUGAGUAAUUGCCUAGGUGUCAGAGAAGUGCAGGCAUGCAGUGCAUCAUUAAAAGCCAGAGAUCAGGAUGUCUGAAUUAAAAUGGGAGGCUCUGAGUCAAUAGAUUACUGCUAUAUACAAUUAACAGUACAAGCCAGAAAUCAUUUACUUUCAUAAUUUAGGACAAUGGCAGCUCUCCAGUGAAAACGUAUUUACAUUAGUUUUACGUUGCUUUCUACAGGCUUAGUACAAAAGGGAGAGACAAAAAUUAAUAUGCACCAAGGCAGUAAUAGAGAAACCUGUCUUUGAACUGUUCUUUCUUUUUAAUCAGCAUGAGCUCUGCUAAAUAGGGAAGAGAAUUAUGAGUAGGUGGAGAGCAUCUAGGUUACUGAGGGCAAAUCACUCUCAAGGGAAUAACUGCAAUUUGAGCAACAGAGUCUGACCUUUGCAUGACUUGGGAUGAACAGUCUUCUCUGUUUUAACCCAGCAUGAACACCAGUUGCAAAGGAACCAGCCUGAAGAUGCUCAAACAUCUUUCCCUAUGUGAAGGUCUGAUUUCCCCUUCUUUGGCAAUUAUACCGUUAUCCUGGAAGAAUUCUCUAAUGCUGACUAAGGUCUUCUAUUUCACAUCCUCAAGUGUGGGAGCUUACACGUAUUUUAGUAAUUUUUCAUAUUGUUUGAAGUCCCAUUAAGCUUCUGAGGUUCUUAAAUUGCUUCUUGGAGCUUUUUAUCAUGUAACUUGGGUUAUAAAAGUAGCACCAUAAACAUUAAUUGAACAGCCAUUAAGCAGUAUGGCUGUUUGUUUUGGGUUGGUAGAGGACGUAAAGCUUCAUACCCUGUGGUGGAAAACAAUUAGAUCUGAUGAUGAACAUGCUAUUAAAUAUACCAUUACCAGACUUCUAUCAGUUGAACUUUAGAAAACAGCAACCAGCUGUAGCCAAAGAAUACACAAGUGAAAGUCAUAUUUUAAUUGUCAUGUCAUAGCCUGUUAUAAAUAUUGUCGUUUCUAAUGUAUUAGGCUAAUGACAGUGACUAAUGGUAGUCAUUACCUCCGUUCAUUCUCAUAAAAAAUUUCCUCAAGAGAGGAUGAUCAUAACUAGAAUGCUGUUUAAACUGUGUUUUUCUAAAAUAGGGGACAUAAACAUUUAAAUACCAAGAGGUUGGAUAGCUAAUUUAUUUUGGUUUGAGUGUGUUUGACAACUACAGCUCUUGUUAAUUGUGCCAUGAGUUGAACAGAUACUCCUUUUGGAAAUGUUUUUGGCAAUCUAAUAUGUAUAUACAUGUCAUGUCUUCGUAUUUUCUCUGCAGGGUGGGAUAAAAGGUGAACCUCACAGCAAGAUAUCUGUGGCCAGAAAAAAAAAGUCUGAUGCCGCCCCUGUAGACCCUUAAUAUUAAGAACAUUGAAUUUCCUCAUCCAUUUCUUAUUUCAGUUAUGAAUUCUGCUUACUUGACAGGUACAGAGUACUUCAUUAUAUGCACAAACAGAAAUGCUUAAAUGGAUGAAGCAGCUAUUUUCGUCUGAUAGGAGCUAAGUGGGACAUUAAAUUAAUGCCAAACAAGUUCGUAAGACUUUAAUCAAGAAGUCAAAAAAAAAAGUAUCUAAUGAACAGCAAUUUGAAGCACAGCAUUCGGAAAGGUCAGAAUGGUACAUUACAUCCUUAUUAUCCAAAAGAACAGAUGAGUUUAAUAUCCUGGCAGCAUUUUCCUGUGAAGAAGAUAUUAAACAAGAACUGAAAAUGGCACAAGGUUUGCCUCUUUCUUUCUUCUGACAAAGACUGUAACAAGAUGAUUAAACUAUACAGAAUAAAUCUCUUUCUGAGUUAAUGUUCA